UACGGAGGGGGCUAGCGUUGUUCGGAAUUACUGGGCGUAAAGCGCACGUAGGUGGCUUUGUAAGUUAGAGGUGAAAGCCCGGGGCUCAACUCCGGAAUUGCCUUUAAGACUGCAUCGCUAGAACGUCGGAGAGGUAAGUGGAAUUCCGAGUGUAGAGGUGAAAUUCGUAGAUAUUCGGAAGAACACCAGUGGCGAAGGCGGCUCACUGGCCUGGUACUGACGCUGAGG
rnacentral:rRNA from 1 species